GCUUUUGUCUCUCGCUGCAGCCAGAGCUUGGGAUCGCUUUCUGCUAUUCAACGUCCUCCACCUCUGCCCCCCUCUCGCCCCAGCCGGUGACAGGCUGUUGCCCUGUGAUCUGCAGGUCCUGGGACGUGCACAGACAGCUAAGAUGCCAGGACAUUCCAGAAGCACCUGAGUAAUUUGACUCUCCUGCCUGGACCCAGCGUACAGAUGGGAUUGUGCUUCAUUGCUGGACCCAGCAUUUAGGCGCCUGUAAUUUCAGCUACUCCGGGGGCUGAGGCAGGAGAAUCGCUUGAACUCGGGAAGCAGAAGUUGCAGUGAGCCAAGGUCGCACCACUGCACUCCAGCCCAGGCGACAUUGUGAGACUCCAUCUCAAAAAAAAAAAAAAGAAAAAAAGUGUACUAACAAGACCCAGCACACAGAGGAGACUUUUACCAUUGUAUGAACACCCAUCAAACAGUACACAUCAUCAUUG
ensembl:lncRNA LINC01224 long intergenic non-protein coding RNA 1224